rnacentral:rRNA from 1 species
CCUACGGGUGGCUGCAGUGGGGAAUAUUGGGCAAUGGGCGCAAGCCUGACCCAGCAACGCCGCGUGAAGGAAGAAGGCUUUCGGGUUGUAAACUUCUUUUCUCAGGGAAGAAAAAAAUGACGGUACCUGAGGAAUAAGCCACGGCUAACUACGUGCCAGCAGCGGCGGUAAUACGUGGGUGGCAAGCGUUAUCCGGAUUUAUUGGGUGUAAAGGGCGUGUAGGCGGGAGCGCAAGUCAGAUGUGAAAUCUCAGGGCUCAACCCUGAGCCUGCAUUUGAAACUGUUUUUCUUGAGUGCUGGAGAGGUAAUCGGAAUUCCUUGUGUAGCGGUGAAAUGCGUAGAUAUAAGGAGGAACACCAGUGGCGAAGGCGGAUUACUGGAUAGUAACUGACGCUGAGGCGCGAAAGCGUGGGGAGCAAACAGGAUUAGAUACCCCUGUAGUC